UCUGUUUCAUGUCUGUGCGUUGUUCUGUAUUAUGUUUUCAUUUAUUUACGAAAUUAUUCCAACCCCAAACCUGCUUCCCGACUCCCAGCGCACACGUUGCACUUUAAAGGUAGCAUUUGACUAAGUCAUGCGAUCGAGGGCCGUUUUAAGGGGGACCAUGGUUUUGGUACAUCCUGUUCUUUUGGUAUCUGUCAAGGACACAGCUGUGUGGAGCCAAGGUUUAUGGCCAUGCUGGACCAGUACACCCCUAAGCUGUUGUCCUUAUUCCAAGGGAGUAGCACUUGGACACAGAUUGAGGGUCAUGCUGGAUGUCCUACUCCAGGACCGAAGCAGUACCCCCAUUAAGACCAGUGGAUUUGUUACUUAACCACCUGGCUGAAGAUGAGCCCUGAAUUACAGAAAAUAAAUGCAAGCAUAUAGUCAAAAUGACUCAUCAGUAAACGGGGUCUUCUAAGCAUUCCGAAUUGCCCUAGAGGCACCAAAACAUUACAUUUCUGAACAUUUAAGAUUGUUCCACUAAUGUCAAAAAAGCUGAUUUACCUAAGUUAGUAGAGACCAAAAGGUGUGGUAACUCGUAUGUUUAAAGUUUAGUAAUGUUAGGUACAGUGGAACUUUUUGAAAAAGUAUCAACCUACGUGACGAGGGCCAACCAACUUUCUGGUCGAGAAUGCAGUGAUGAGUGCUAAAACUGUUGCCUGUAAUAAAGUGCAUCUAACGG